UAAUUAAAACUUUUAACAAUGGAUCUCUUGGUUCUCGUAUCGAUGAAGAACGCAGCGAAACGCGAUAUUUCUUGUGAAUUGCAGAAGUGAAUCAUCAGUUUUUGAACGCACAUUGCACUUUGGGGUAUCCCCCAAAGUAUACUUGUUUGAGCGUUGUUUCUCUCUUGGAAUUGCUUUGCUCUUCUAAAAUUUCGAAUCAAAUUCGUUUGAAAAACAACACUAUUCAACCUCAGAUCAAGUAGGAUUACCCGCUGAACUUAAGCAUAUCAAUAAGCGGA
rnacentral:misc_RNA from 1 species